UCCUGUAGGCCCUCCAUCAGCAAGGCCUGGCUCUGGGUGUGACCCGAGGUCCUGACUCAUCUCUACUCUCAUCCUGGUGACUAAUGACUCUGGGCAAGGCAGAAGACUGUGUGGGGGACAAGAAUCCUGGGUUCGACCUUGAACUUAAGAGGCUGCAAGCCCUGAGCAAAGUUACCGACAAGCCAGGGGUAACCCGAGCCAGCCCUUAGAUGGAAACACUGGCCUGGUGGCUGGCCGGACUGCCAGCACUGGCAUCCCCAGUGGAUCCGAGCCUCCCGGCUCCAUUUCACCAGCCUCUGUUCUGCACAGCCCUUUCUCUGGAGCAACAAAGCCUCUCCUGCUCAUCAGGCCCUGAGAAAGGGCCAGACACUGGGCUAACUACUUUACACACGAAACGUUUGCACCACAAAAGACUGAAACCUUGAGUCAGUCAGUCUCCACUGAGCCACAAGCUUCCUGGAAGCCCCUUCAAGAGACGAGGAUGACAUCCCAGAGUGAGGCUCACAAAGGGACCCCAUCUCCCCACCAGAUGUCAAGCUACCUGAUCAAAGGCUUGGUUCAGGGUGCCCCAUGACAGAAGCCCUGGGAUGAGUUGGUGGGCCCCCAGCCCAAAUCCAGCUGCCCUCCUCGACGACAGGAAAGAAACUCUUGGACGGUUCUUAAGGCUUGAAAUAAAGUUUAAAUAUUACUUGGAAAUUACUAAACAAAUCAAAUCACUGUUAAGUGGAUGUCGUGGGCUUCCUCUAGACAAUACGUUUAAUGAAGAUUAUUGUCCUCCUGGUUAUAGUUUGAGAUUUGCAUUUUAUUAUCAGAGAACCACUUAUGCAUUACUCCAGGAUUUUCAUUAGGUAAAUAAAUUUUUAUGUGGAUUUCA